rnacentral:lncRNA from 1 species
CUCAGCCGGGCCGCUGGGGCCGUGCAGUGCACCGGGCACGCCGCGCCAGGCUGGGGGCAGGCACCGAGCCUCCGUGGGAGGUCCCGAGGCAGCUUCGCCUGCUCGCCCUGGCUCCAGCCCUCACCUGCCGCAGCCUUAGCUGAGCAGCCGCCGCCACUGGGCGCCCCCCGCUCCCCACUUCGCCAGCGCCCGCUCCUCGGCUCGGCCCGGGGUAGUUUGUAGGGACGCAGCUCUCCACGUGCGCGACUGCGAGGCUGGACGCUACGGGCUCCUGGAAAGGAGCAGACACCAGCAUUUGCCACAAUGCUGUCAUCCACUGACUUUACAUUUGCUUCCUGGGAGCUUGUGGUCCGCGUUGACCAUCCCAAUGAAGAGCAGCAGAAAGACGUCACACUGAGAGUAUCUGGAGACCUUCAUGUUGGAGGAGUGAUGCUCAAAUAUAUCCCAAGACUGGUCAGACUUUGCUCUUUGGUGGGAACAGAAGCAUUGCUGGCUUCUGAAAACCCACUGGACCCUGGACAAAUAUGGGGUCCAGGCAGAUGCAAAGCUUCUCUUCACCCCUCAGCAUAAAAUGCUGCGCCUUCGUCUGCCGAAUUUGAAGAUGGUGAGGUUGCGAGUCAGCUUCUCAGCUGUGGUUUUUAAAGCUGUCAGUGAUAUCUGCAAAAUCCUGAAUAUUAGAAGAUCAGAAGAGCUUUCCUUGUUAAAGCCGUCUGGUGACUAUUUUAAGAAG